rnacentral:rRNA from 1 species
UGAACAAGGGCAUACGGCGGAUGCCUUGGCGCCAAGAGCCGAUGAAGGACGCGGUAAGCUGCGAAAAGGCAUGGGUAGGAGCAAGCAUCCUGUGAUCCAUGCAUAUCCGAAUGGGGCAACCCACCAUCAGUCAUGUGAUGGUACGAAAGAGGCAGACCUGGGGAACUGAAACAUCUAAGUACCCAGAGGAAAAGUAAUCAAUUGAGAUUCCCUAAGUAGCGGCGAGCGAAAGGGGAAGAGCCCAAACCAUGAAACUUCGGUUUUGUGGGGUUGAGGACCGGCAAAAAGAGGAAACUUCUUAGUCGAAUGGUUUGGAAAGGCCAUGCACAGAAGGUAAAACACCUGUAGGCGAAAAGAAGUCAAUCGGGCUGGUAUCCAGAGUACUGCGAGACACGUGAAACCUUGCAGGAAGCAGGGGGGACCACCCUCCAAGGCAAAAUACUACUUGGCGACCGAUAGCGCAUAGUACCGUGAGGGAAAGGUGAAAAGAACCCCGGGAGGGGAGUGAAAUAGAACCUGAAACCGUAUGUCUACAAGCAGUCGAAGCACCUUAAGAGUGCGACGGCGUGCCUAUUGAAGAAUGAACCGGCGAGUUACAUUAUGUUGCGAGGUUAAGUGGGAGACACGGAGCCGAAGCGAAAGCGAGUCUUAAUAGGGCGACUAGUAACAUGGUGUAGACCCGAAACCGCAGUGAUCUAUCCAUGGUCAGGUUGAAGCGCAGGUAAAAAUGCGUGGAGGACCGAACCCGUGAGUGUUGAAAAACUUUGGGAUGAACCGUGGAUAGGGGUGAAAUGCCAAUCGAACGCGGAGAUAGCUGGUACUCCCCGAAAUAGCUUUAGGGCUAGCCUCAGGGAAGAUUAUAGACGGUAGAGCACUGAUCUGGCAAGGGGGCGUAAAGCCUACCGACCCUAGUCAAACUUCGAAUGGCUAUAAUUAAGACCCUGGGAGUCAGACUGCGAGUGAUAAGACCCGUAGUCAAGAGGGAAACAGCCCAGACCGCCGACUAAGGUCCCCAAUGCUGUACUAAGUGGAAAAGGAUGUAAGACUUCAUAAACAACCAGGAUGUUGGCUUAGAAGCAGCCACCAUUAAAAGAGUGCGUAAUAGCUCACUGGUCGAGAGGCCUUGCGCCGAAGAUGUCCGGGGCUCAAGUACAGAACCGAAGUCGCGGCAGGAUUUAUAAUUCUGGGUAGGGGAGCGUUGUAUAUCCGACUGAAGGUGUACCGGAAGGAGCGCUGGAGGAUAUACAAGAGAGAAUGCCGGUAUGAGUAGCGAAAAGAACAGUGAGAAUCUGUUCCACCGAAAGCCUAAGGUUUCCUGAGCAACGCUCGUCGACUCAGGGUAAGUCGGGACCUAAGCCGAGGCAAAAAGCAUAGGCGAUGGACAACAGGUUAAUAUUCCUGUACCGCUUCAAAUCGUUUGAGCAAUGGAGUGACACAGAAGGUAGCUUGAGCACGCGAAUGGAUGUGCGUGUCGAAGGUGGUAGAUUGCAGUAUAGGCAAAUCCGUACUGUAUAAGAUCGAGAACUGAUAGAUAGACGAUACUUCGGUAAAGUCAAAUUCAAGUGAGCCAUGCUGUCGAGAAAAGCUUCUAGUGAGAGAUGAGGCGCCCGUACCGAAACCGACACAGGUAGGCGGGGAGAGAAUCCUAAGGUGCGCGGGACAACCCUCGUUAAGGAACUCGGCAAAUUGUAUCCGUAACUUAGGGAUAAGGAUAGCCGGAGGAUGUGAAGGGAUUUACUUCUGGAGCGUCAGCCGGUGGCACAAGAGAGGCCCAAGCGACUGUUUAGCACAAACACAGGUGCCUGCGAAAGAGAAAUCUGAAGUAUAGGUGCUGACACCUGCCCGGUGCUGGAAGGUUAAGAGGAGGGCUUAGAGGCAACUCGAAGGCUUGAAUUGAAGCCCCAGUAAACGGCGGCCGUAACUAUAACGGUCCUAAGGUAGCGAAAUUCCUUGUCGGGUAAGUUCCGACCCGCACGAAAGGUGUAACGACUUGGGCACUGUCUCAACGAGGGACCCGGUGAAAUUGAAGUACCUGUGAAGAUGCAGGUUACCCGCGACUGGACAGAAAGACCCCAUGGAGCUUUACUGCAACCUGACAUUGAUGUUCGGUAAAUAACGUACAGGAUAGGUGGGAGACGGAGAAGUAUUGGCGUUAGCUGAUAUGGAGUCAACCUUGGGAUACCACCCUUUAUUUAUUGGACCUCUAACUGAAGAAGUAACGACUCUCAGGACAGUAUCAGGCGGGCAGUUUGACUGGGGCGGUCGCCUCCCAAAAUGUAACGGAGGCGC